GAGUUUGAUCGUGGCUCAGAACGAACGCUGGCGGCGUACUUAACACAUGCAAGUCGGACGAGAAGGAGACUUCGGUCUCUGAGUACAGUGGCGCACGGGUGCGUGACACGUAAGUAAUCUGCCCCGAACUCUGGGAUAACCCUCCGAAAGGACGGGCUAACACCGGAUAGGGUCCCCGAGGUGUAGGCUGCGGGGGAAAACGGCCUCUGUUCCAUGCUCGUGGUUUGGGAUGAGCUUGCGGCCCA
rnacentral:rRNA from 1 species